UACGUGUAAUUCUAAAUUACACCGGCCAGGAUUGGAAAAAAAUCACAUUGUGAUGUUGCCCUAUUACUUGAUGAAGCAUCACGAAUUCUCACGUACACACGAACCCGUUCGAGUAGGUGAAAGUUAUGAUAACACAAAUUUCUUCCGUCUUUUUUGUGUUAUUGAUUUCAUUCGCCGCUCAAACCGACCACAUCCGGGAUGUGUUAGACAGCGCGAAUGUUAUUAUUUUUCUCAUUAAACACAAGAUUCGAGCAAAGUGAAUUAUCAACUUUCUUCUAAUACACCGUCUGUUUACGACGUGUAAGAGUGUUAUCGGAGCUAUAAACGGAUAGGAAGCUUCGGAUUUUCUUAUUUUCCGCGUACAUCAUGGAAAUGUCAACGUCAAUUAUGAUAACCGUGUAAUUAUUUAUCCCCCGAACGAAGCAUCGAACCACGGAAAGUGGCGCUCGUCGCCUUCGCAUACUUCUGCUGUCUGAUGUGAAAAUAUUCUCAAGCUGGCUCCAAGUCAACGACGCUUUUAGCUCUUUCCAGCCGACCCGCUCGGCAUUUUCUCUUUUGAUAUUGAAAUAGACCACUCAACUGCUUGUUGUACGCGCAUCGUUACUCCGCGAGGCAAUUAAAUAAUAAUAAUAAUAAUCUGCUAAAUUAUGCGACAACAAUUUUAUUUCGUGGGCUGUGAAUCUUUUCUCAUUCCCCGGUCGAAAAUUAUAACCGUUUUUGUUGCAAGUAAUUAAUGCGUGUGAUAAAAAUACAGUUAUGUGAACACAAAGUCAAUCCGCUUACAAUUAGCAUGAAUCGAGAAAAAGCGUCUUGUAAAGGGUAAUAAGGUUUUCUCGAAUGCGUUUUGUGCUGCUGAAACACCUUGCUUUUUUUUUACGCGCUCCACUUAACUCGUGGACCAUGAACAUAUUCAGAUAUGGCCGCGUCUGCAAAUCAACACAUUAACGAACAGAAUUAAUGGCACGUCUAUCCGCGUAAGGCGCGCUCCGGUGUAUCCGGUGGGAUAUAUACCGUAGAGCGUUGUUCUACUUCUGAAAAAUUGAACACGGGAAACGUACGCGCGCGCGUGUACACGCGUAACACGACGAAAAAAAAGCCGUAAGACCUUCCGUCCCGCGAUUUACCGCGAACCAUUGUUCUCGGCGGAUUACAAGCAGUAUCGCUAUCGCUUUUUCAGGAAGAAGACUGUCUCACUUUCUGCUCUAUUAUGCACUUCCUAUCCGGCACAAUGGCGGUUACGAUGAGCCCGGGUAUAAAGAGCGAUUCCCAUGGCGUUUAAUAUCUCUCGUUGCUCGGAAGUUCCUUUAAAUACGCGUAAUGUCGUUUAUGAAGUGCUGCACCGGUGGCUGCAGCUCAAUCGAAUUACGUGUAAUUACUUUAACAUUAAAUUUGCAAGUCUCGUCAGGAACCAAACUUCACCAAGGCAAGCCUUUAAUUCUCUUUACCAUGAGAUGUAAGCUCGUGGAAAAAUUGAAAAUUCUUUAAUAAUUGGUUUACAUCUAUGUAUUAACAAUUUUUUACAUGCAUCUAAUACAGAACUGUUUAUCGAAACCGUAAUUUCCUGCUUGAGAUAGACCAGUCGAUUCUCGAGUGCGCGGAGCGCCAAUUGAAUCCGCCGCCGUCGCUGAUUCGGUCGCCGAUUUUUCGAUUCGAUCGAUUCGCGCAAUGUUCGCUCUGACACGUAUAAAAUAAUCCGGUAUUUCCAGUAAUUCCAGUAUCCUUUGACGCGGACCGUUUCGACGCCGCGACUGUUCAUACGGUAAUGUCUGUGCAGUUACGAGACGUCGAUUUUUCGAAAGCGCCGAGGACUCCUCCAGGCGGGAGUCGUCUCGCUUUUUUUCGCGGCUCCUUUUUUUCUCUACGUUAAACUGUACGAUAAUGCAAUAUUACGACGCCGCAGUGCAUUCGAGAAACAGGCAGAUGGAAAGGAGGGAGGAACGACCUUGUCUAUAAUAGUGCGAUAGUUAUGGGCUGACCUAGUCUGAGCGUACCAUUCACCGAUGCAGUUACUUAUAUAGUUGUAUAGCCUUAAGGCGCGCUUACGCCGAUCACCGCCGCGAGGAUCUCCGCCCCGGAAUUAUUGUUGCACGUCGAUAGCAUCACGAGAUACGCAACAUCCGUUAGCAGUAUUGCGUCGAGGUCCUGCUCCUAACGCAACUCUUGGUUUCUUUUUCUUCCUCUUUUUUUUUGACAACUGAUUCCUUGGCCUGCAGCUUCGACUCACGAUCGGAGCGAAAACACGUCGAGGAUUCGGAUGAUCGGCCGUGACCGCGUAUUACGCCGCGGUGGACACCCACGCGUCGAGUUAUUUGUCGAAUCGUACAAAUCCCAGGAGCGAUCAACAACAAACGACAACAGGCGUUGCCGCCGUCAAUUAGCCGGAGAACAAGAUGGAUGUAUCAUCUGCUUGCGACCGGCCGUGUUGAUUGCCUUGAAGAGUUUGCGCAAAUUAGAGGCGAAUACGCGCGAUUAAGCGAGCCAAGUGGCAGAAACGGCCGCGGAUGCACGGGCAAUUUGGUAAUAUGGCGACGGCGAACGGUCGCGUGACCAUUUGUGGCUCACGCUCGACCCACGUCCAAGAGGCUCGCCUUGAUCGGCCGUUCCCUCGGUGUGCCGAUCUUACCCACGUGCCCGUAAAUGGCGUAGGCGUAAGUAAUGUCGUUAAACUAUAAUGUAAUCCACCUUAGGAUAACGCGCGCGUAACAAG